rnacentral:lncRNA from 1 species
UGAAUCAGAUUGAGAUGUAAGUAGGUAAGGUCAUGCUUGCUGUUCUGCUUUCAUGCAACUCUCCGGAAACUCCCCUGGUAAUAAAUAAUAAUGAUUACCUGAUUAUCUGUAAGGCAUAAUAACAGCUUUCAUCCAAGAUCUGAAAAACUCUUUGAAAGGUGGAUUUUGCAAAUGCAGAACUGCAGUGCAGGGGAUGAACAGCUUGAUUUUUAUCAGCCAGCAUUGAACUUGCCACAGGGGUACGCACGGGAGCACGUAGCAAAAAGGGAUUGAAUUGGUGCUUCUUGCAGCUCUGUCCAGUGCCUCGUUUUUGUGGCUGGUUGUGCCACACUGUUCACACAGUCUCUUCACACUUCCCACAGUGUGCUUUCUUUUUUUUGCCUUUUUUUAAUGUGACCCAGAGCCCUGGCUAUGGUCUUUCAGGCAUAUCUUUGAGACAGGUACUCCUAGAAACUUAGAUCCAGCUGUAGAGAUUCACAGAAUCCUCUAGGCUGGAAGAGACCUCCAAGAUCACCUAGUCCAGCCUCUGAGCUUGGUUGCUUCUGAGCAAGAGGGUUGUGUUCCCAGCUCCUAGAGAGCAGCCUUGCAAGGUUUUAGGUCUGAACACCUGAAAACUGCAGGAUUGGAAGGGUUCUGAGCAUGCUGGAAAUCCAAUGCUCACGCCAAGGCAUGAUGCAUGCAGGCAGGCAAUGACAUCUAGAGUAUCUUGAAACAUUUGGGAGAUUACAAGAAAAUCUUUACUGCUGGCCCUGUUCUAACCCAUUCUGGUUUUUAGAAAGAUGUGGAAACAACUUAUCUAAUAUAAAUGUAUUUGUUUUAGGUUUUGCCUCCCCCUCACAAUUUCUGCCAAAAGCUCUGGAUUGCUGUGGUCAAUGGCAUCUCUGAAGGACACACGGGCUGACAGACAGUUCACUGAACACAGGGAGAGGAAAACCCCAGCUGGGAGCACCAAAAACGAGCAAAGCAAAGCUGCUCUAUAUUGCUGACAGUCACUGGGAUCAUCAGCAGAAGCGAGUGGUUCAAAGAAAAUUAAGAAAAAAAAAGAAUUGCAGCUGUGGAAUAUUAUUAUUUAUGCACAACCCCUUAGUAGUCAGAAGUUCCUCUGGAGAUCUAUUGAUUCUGCGUGUGGGUGAGUUUUUGAACUGCAGUUGGUGCUGCUCUAGCUUUGUUGCCACUUAAGAUAAUAAGCUGGUCUAAUUCUGUGCACGGCAUCAUCCUGGCUUCCACAAGAAUGGAGUUACGCCAAUAUUGGUAGUUUUGGAAAAUCACUUCGCAAGUGUGUGCCAAAUCCCCGGAGGGUUUGCCGUUCAGAAACACAGAAAUUAGAAGAAAAGAAUGGCUCCAUUGAUCUGGUUCCUAAACUGUUCAUUGUAUGACCUUAGGCAACUCAUUUAAUUUCUGAGUGCCACAGUUUAUCUAUCAAUAAAACAGGGAUAAUAUCUAUUUAUUUCUUACA